rnacentral:rRNA from 1 species
AGAGUUUGAUCCUGGCUCAGGAUGAACGCUGGCGGCGUGCCUAACACAUGCAAGUCGAACGCGAGAUUUUUUGCUUGCAAGAAAUCGAGAGUGGCGAACGGGUGAGUAACACGUUGGUGACCUGCCCCGAGGAGGGGGACAACUGUGGGAAACCACAGCUAAUACCCCGGAUGUUAAGGAGUUUAGACGCCCUUAACUAAAGUUACGGCGCCUCGGGAGGGGCCUGCGGGCUAUCAGCUAGUUGGUGAGGUAAGAGCUCACCAAGGCAAAGACGGCUAGGGGGCGUGAGAGCGCGACCCCCCACAAUGGAACUGAGACACGGUCCAUACUCCUACGGGAGGCAGCAGUGAGGAAUAUUGCGCAAUGGGCGAAAGCCUGACGCAGCAACGCCGCGUGGAUGAUGAAGGCCUUCGGGUUGUAAAAUCCUUUUCUGGGGGACGAUGAUGACGGUACCUCAGGAAUAAGUCCCGGCUAACUACGUGCCAGCAGCCGCGGUAAAACGUAGGGGGCGAGCGUUAUCCGGAAUUAUUGGGCGUAAAGAGCACGUAGGUGGCGUUAAAAGUUGGGCGUGAAAGCUCUCGGCUUAACUGAGAGAGGUCGUUCAAAACUAUAAUGCUUGAGGUUGAUAGAGGAGAGUAGAAUUCCCGGUGUAGUGGUGGAAUGCGUAGAUAUCGGGAGGAAUACCAGUGGCGAAAGCGGCUCUCUGGAUCACACCUGACACUGAGGUGCGAAAGCGUGGGUAGCAAACAGGAUUAGAUACCCUGGUAGUCCACGCUGUAAACGAUGGAUACUAGGUGUGGGAGGUUAUUUACCCCUUCUGUGCCGGAGCAAACGCGUUAAGUAUCCCGCCUGGGGACUACGGCCGCAAGGCUAAAACUCAAAGGAAUUGACGG